CGUAUCACCCAAGACAACUUUACGGAGUUGACGAUUGACGGAGCGAAGCGACGUCAAAGCGUUCAUUAAAGUCGAGUUGGCUUAGGGAUACGUUCGUUGGGUAGGGGAGCGUUCUGUAAGCCUGUGAAGGUGGCCUGUGAGGGUUGCUGGAGGUAUCAGAAGUGCGAAUGCUGACAUAAGUAACGAUAAAGCGGGUGAAAAGCCCGCUCGCCGGAAGACCAAGGGUUCCUGUCCAACGUUAAUCGGGGCAGGGUGAGUCGACCCCUAAGGCGAGGCCGAAAGGCGUAGUCGAUGGGAAACGGGUUAAUAUUCCCGUACUUGGUGUUACUGCGAAGGGGGGACGGAGAAGGCUAUGUUGGCCGGGCGACGGUUGUCCCGGUUUAAGCGUGUAGGCUGGUUUUCCAGGCAAAUCCGGAAAAUCAAGGCUGAGGAGUGACGACGAGGCACUACGGUGCUGAAGCAACAAAUGCCCUGCUUCCAGGAAAAGCCUCUAAGCAUCAGGUAACAUCAAAUCGUACCCCAAACCGACACAGGUGGUCGGGUAGAGAAUACCAAGGCGCUUGAGAGAACUCGGGUGAAGGAACUAGGCAAAAUGGUGCCGUAACUUCGGGAGAAGGCACGCUGACACGUAGGUGAAGUGAUUUACUCAUGGAGCUGAAGUCAGUCGAAGAUACCAGCUGGCUGCAACUGUUUAUUAAAAACACAGCACUGUGCAAACACGUAAGUGGACGUAUACGGUGUGACGCCUGCCCGGUGCCGGAAGGUUAAUUGAUGGGGUCAGCGCAAGCGAAGCUCCUGAUAGAAGCCCCGGUAAACGGCGGCCGUAACUAUAACGGUCCUAAGGUAGCGAAAUUCCUUGUCGGGUAAGUUCCGACCUGCACGAAUGGCGUAAUGAUGGCCAGGCUGUCUCCACCCGAGACUCAGUGAAAUUGAACUCGCUGUGAAGAUGCAGUGUACCCGCGGCAAGACGGAAAGACCCCGUGAACCUUUACUAUAGCUUGACACUGAACAUUGAGCCUUGAUGUGUAGGAUAGGUGGGAGGCUUUGAAGCGUGGACGCCAGUCUGCGUGGAGCCGACCUUGAAAUACCACCCUUUAAUGUUUGAUGUUCUAACGUGGACCCGU
rnacentral:rRNA from 1 species